GUCUACAGUCAUAAACAUUUUGACCAUUUUAAUGGACCUUUAAUGCAACAUUUAGUACAACUCUGCAUUAAAAGUGUCAUUAUUUACCAAGACAUGUCAU